rnacentral:lncRNA from 1 species
CAUCAUACAAGGACCUCACCUCAAUGCCAAAAAAAAAUAAUAAUAAUAAUAAUAAAUAAAUAAAAUAACAUAAAAUGAAGACAAAAGUGUCGAUUAACCUCAAGAAUCAAGAUCGGCAGUAAUUUUCCCAGUGAACAUAAUCUGUAUGAAAAUUAACCAUAAAUUAAACUUAAUCUUAAAGACUUAAACUAUCAUCAAUUUCCAAUUUCUAAUUUCCAACACAAAUUGAACAUUUCUCACAAAUCAUAAAAUUCCCAAUUCACAUAUUUACAAAAUUUACAAAUCCCCCGAUUUUCAUAAAUCAUAAUCAUCACAUUUAACAUAACAAUCAAAUGAAAUCAUCAAAAUCAAAAAGAAAAAAAUAAAAUAAAAUAAAAGCUAGAAUAGCUCACCAAGGCAAGAAGUCGCACUCGCAGCCAUCGACGUCCACUCAACUCUCACAGUUGCACGAUCGCACCACUCCAUCGUCCACCUCCUUGUCGGUCAUGGACUCAUGGCUCACCGGUCACCGACUCACCAUCUACUCAACUCGCACCACUCUACCAGGCACUAGUCCACUGUCUUGACAAUCGCCCUUCGCCUUCAACAAUUCCGUUCAGCCCUUGGUUAAUUGGUUUUAAUUUUGGAGUUUGGACUCUUCAAAUUGGUGAAUGCAAUGGAAAUAUAUCCACUCCAGCCGUCCAUUAAUUUCAAGGUAUUGGGCCAUUGGAUUUGGG